ensembl:lncRNA
CAGACAUUUUUAUCAUUUUUUCUGUCUGAUAAUGAAUUCAUUCUUACCCCAGAACUCAACGCAGUACAGCAGUGCUCCGUCCCUGACCAUAGCAUCUCUCACUACAACAGCAGGGUUAACAGAUUUAUCAGCUACCAGCUGGAACGAAGGCUGCAUGUUACAAGCACUGUUUUGCCCAGGCUGGCACUGAUCGUUGUGUGUGACUUCCUUAACACGUGAGGUCCCCCCUGCCGGUUACCUGGCCUGGAGGUGAGGCCAGAGCCGGCUGCGGCGCUGCUGUCGCUUGAUCGUGGGAGAGGCUAGGUAACAGCCGAACACCGUCACGCUGUGCCGAAGAGGAGCGCGACACCGAAACGCGCGCCCCCCCAGCGCCGUGCCAUGCCGUGCCGUGCCAUGCCGGCGAGAGGGCAGCUGGGGCCACGCGCCGUGCCGCCGGCAGCCCCUCGCUCGGAGGCCCCUUGUGCGCGUGCCGGGGACUAGAAAUCCAGCCCCGGCAGGAAGCAGCCGGCGAUCUCCACCGAGGGCUGGAGGGAGCAGAGCCCCGCUUUGCUGAGUGUGAAGCCUUGUGCGUGUGCAGCUGUGCAGCCCAGUGCAGGUACGAAGCCACUGAUGAGAGACCCCAAAGUGUCGGAGUGCCACAAUUUUACAUCACACGCAGCCCUCCGAAGGCUCAAGGUGCCAUUUUAUACAGCCAUUGGAUUGCGCAGUAGGUGGGAAUGUCCUCUGGGCGUUGCUGGCAGCUGUAGCCACACUGCUGUCGACCUCGCUCUCUGCAUAACCUCGAGUAUAAAACUGAUGUUCCCAGAGAGACAAGGUACAAAACCUUAUCAUGAUCGGCUUAAGGACCCGCAGGAGAGAGAGGAGAUGUGUCAUCUGGGACAGAAGAACCCGAGGAGCAAAAUGAACCCUGAAACCCCGGUGGGGAGUGACAAGCUGAGCAGCAACCAGGAGGCUCACGUUUUGCAGGCUCAUGUUGAAAAUGCACCGCUAGCUGCGGAGACCAUGGAGGAAUGUGGCCCCUUCAUGCAGGAGGAUAUCGAAGUGCACAGAGCAGGUUCGGGACUGCGUGGCUCCCGGUGACUCGGGGCCGAGCGCGUGGUUAGGUCAGCCCGCGCCUGGCCGCCAGCGCCGCCGCCACCACCACCGCCAGAGGAGCAGAUUUCCAGCCGGGCUGCCAGGAGUUACAGUGUGCAUUGGCAUGGGCAGCAGGAAAAAUAUGAUGAGAAAUAGGAAGAUUAAAAUAGCCGUGGUGAAAACAGGAUGUUGGAAAGUUCAUAACAGAGAAGCAGUUCAGCGUCGCCUGAAAAUGGGCGACUUAGGAUCAGAGAGGCUGUCAAACAUGCACUUUUGUCAGGGCUGUUUGGGGGGAAACACCCGUGUUUCUCAGCCGUUUUGGGGCCCACAACAAAGCCCCGGGGCAGAGGCGCUGCAGCUCUUCCCGCUGCACUCUGAAAUGUUGCCUUCCCCAAAAUACAACCUCAUGCGGCUAUUUGGGCAAACGUGCUCACUCCCCUUCUGUCAACACCUGCCUGCUCUCCCGUGUUCAUCAGACGGAGGUCGUAAACCAUCCUCGCAACGCCUCCGUCUGCCAAUGGCGUUAUUUAACGGCUAGGACCUAACAACGGCACUGCCGAGCAGCAGGACCAAGCUCUGCUUCGCAGUGCGGCUGCCCCCAGGGAGCCGCAUUUCGGUGGCGCUGACGGCAGCCUGCUUCGGGGCUGCGACGCACGGUUCCUGCGAGCAGGCGACAAAGUGCGACCCGGAGCCUGCUCUGCUCCUGCCGGCCGCCCCGUCCCCCAGGCACCGGCGGCCGCGCGCGGCGCCACUGCCGGGCUGCACUCCGGCAGCGGGGACGCGUCCCGCGAGCCGCGGGGGAGCUGGCUUCGCCGGCUGCCUGCGUGGGAAUUGUCAGGGUUUUGUGCUCCGGCUGCGGAUGCGAGGGAGAAGGGGGCGGAUUCAGGAGAGGGAGGUAAGAGCCGUACAUUGCACCCUGAGCAAACGCCUCCCUCGCCAAGGCGUGCACAGCACAAAAGCAAACGUGACCUCAGGCUUAGCCCCAUAGUGCAUGAGUUCAUUGAGCCACUGCAAAACUCAUGCUAAAACAAACUGGUUUAAUCUUUAAGACAAAAUAAACAUUACUUUGUAGGAAGUCUUGGUUUCCA